CCUACGGGUGGCAGCAGUCGAGAAUCAUUCACAAUGGGGGAAACCCUGAUGGUGCGACGCCGCGUGGGGGAAUGAAGGUCUUCGGAUUGUAAACCCCUGUCAUGUGGGAGCAAAUUAAAAAGAUAGUACCACAAGAGGAAGAGACGGCUAACUCUGUGCCAGCAGCCGCGGUAAUACAAAGGUCUCAAGCGUUGUUCGGAAUCACUGGGCGUAAAGCGUGCGUAGGCUGUUUCGUAAGUCGUGUGUGAAAGGCGCGGGCUCAACCCGCGGACGGCACAUGAUACUGCGAGACUAGAGUAAGGGAGGGGGAACCGGAAUGCUCGGUGUAGCAGUGAAAUGCGUAGAUAUCGAGAGGAACACUCGUGGCGAAGGCGGGUUCCUGGACAUUAACUGACGCUGAGGCACGAAGGCCAGGGGAGCGAAAGGGAUUAGAUACCCCUGUAGUC
rnacentral:rRNA from 1 species